rnacentral:rRNA from 1 species
AUUGAACGCUGGCGGCAUGCCUUACACAUGCAAGUCGAACGGUAACGGGCCUUCGGGUGCCGACGAGUGGCGAACGGGUGAGUAAAGUAUCGGAACGUGCCAUUUAGGGGGGGAUAACGUAGCGAAAGUUACGCUAAUACCGCAUAUUCUGUGAGCAGGAAAGCGGGGGAUCGCAAGACCUCGCGCUAGAUGAGCGGCCGAUAUCAGAUUAGCUAGUUGGUGGGGUAAGGGCCUACCAAGGAUACGAUCUGUAGCGGGUCUGAGAGGAGGAUCAGCCACAGUGGGAGUGAGACACGGCCCAGACUCCUACGGGAGGCAGGAGUGGGGAAUUUUGGACAAUGGGGGCAACCCUGAUCCAGCCAUGCCGCGUGAGUGAAGAAGGCCUUCGGGUUGUAAAGCUCUUUCGGAAAGAAAGAAAUCGCAGGGGCUAAUACCCUGUGUGGAUGACGGUACUGUAAGGAGAAGCACCGGCUAACUACGUGCCAGCCGCCGCCGUAA